UACAGGGGGGGGCAAGCGUUGUUCGGAAUUACUGGGCGUAAAGGGCUCGUAGGCGGCCAACUAAGUCACACGUGAAAUCCCCAGGCUUAACCUGGGAACUGCGUGUGAUACUGGAUGGCUUGAAUUCGGGAGAGGGAUGCAGAAUUCCAGGUGUAGCGGUGAAAUGCGUAGAUAUCUGGAGGAAUACCGGUGGCGAAGGCGG
rnacentral:rRNA from 1 species